GUAAAUUUGUAUUUGUAUGUAUAUAUACAUGCAUAUUUCCAACAAAGCAACACCGCUAACCAUGGCUUUUUCUUCUCUCUCCCUUAUCCUUUUCUGCUUCAUCUUCAUAUCAUUCGCCAUCUCCGACGCCGUUGUUCCCCCCGCCGACACUUUUCGGUAUGUCAACCAAGGCGAUUUUGGAGAACUCGAUUCCGAAUACGCCCCAACCUAUCGUCCUCUUCCUCCAUACACCUCCCCUUUCCAGCUCUGUUUCUACAAUACCACCCCCGGCGUCUACACUCUUAGUCUCCGCAUGGGAACCGGACGUGAUGAAGCGGUCAUGCCAUGGGUGUGGGAUGCCAACAGAGGCAACCCAGUUGGCGAAAACGCCACCUUCUCAUUAGCCUCCGACGGAAACCUUGUACUCGCCGACGGAGAUGGACGGAUCGCAUGGCAAACCAACACCGCCAACAAGGGUGUCGUCGGUUUUGCCAUACUCUCCACCGGUAACAUCGUGCUUCGUGACUCCAAGGGUGGUUUCGUCUGGCAAAGCUUUGAUUCACCUACUGAUACGCUUAUGUUUGGUCAAUCUCUCCGGAUCGGAGGUCCAACGAAGCUCGUCAGCAGAGCUUCAACGACGAACAACGUAAACGGAGCGUAUAGUUUCGUGAUAGAGCCAAAAAGAUUGGGUUUGUAUUAUAAGAACAUGCUUUAUUGGUCUUCCACGUUUCCAUUGUUUCCGGAAUUGAACCAACCAAAUGUGACUAUUGUUAAUGCGACAUUCGCCAUCGUGGAAACCGAAUACAAUAACGACUUUAACGCAAUUAGGUGUCAUCUUUCAAACUCUAAUGCUCAACCUUUUUUGGACAUGGACAUACUCCGAUUCAAUAACACGUUAUCCUAUAUCCGAUUAGGCAUCGAUGGGAACUUACGACUCUACUCUUAUCGUCCUCCGAAUAUCCGUUUUAGCCAAUGGCGUAUCGUGUUCAGAUUGUUCGAUAAUAUGGAGACCACGAGGCGGGGUUUAUAUGAAGACGAGUGCCAACUGCCUGAACGCUGCGGCAAGUUUGGGCUGUGUGAGGACAGCCAGUGUGUUGGGUGUCCGUCGCCGGAGGGUGUUUUUGCGUGGAGCAAAAACUGCAAUGCGAAGACGCCGUCUUGUAAAGCGGGUGGUUCUCGUUACUACCAGCUGAAAGGAGUCGACCAUUUCACUUCUAAAUACUCUCCGGGGAGUGGGCCGAUGAAACAGAAAGAUUGCGAGAGUAAAUGCACAAAGGACUGUAAGUGUAUGGGGUAUUUCUAUCGCACUGAUCUAUCGAGGUGUUGGAUCGCUAACGAGUUAAAAACUUUGACGAGGGUUGGGAACUCGACUCAUUUGGCGUACAUCAAAACACCCAUCCAGUAGUUGGAUAAGUCUACUAGGAAAGAGGGAAUAAGGAAGAUGAAAGAUUUGAAGAAAUAGCACUGUUUACUUGCUUUUCUAUAUUUUUACCUUCCAUUGUCUGUUUGUAUCGAAAUCAAAGAGACUAUGUGGUUGUAUAUUUUUUAAGAUGUAAAACGCUUCGGUAUGCAUAACACAUUUGCAGUAGAAUAAAUGUGUUUACAGUCUACAAGUGGACAAAAUAUUUACAGUUUAAAUAAAGUUUUUUUAAUAAUUAUAAAAAAUAAAAUUAAAAAUUGUUUCAAUAAUUACAAGAACGUAUAAACUGCAAAAUAUGAUUAUCUUGCGGAUUACCAUUUUUUUAUAAUUAUUGAAAAAAAUCUUUUAAUUUUAAUUUUGUUUACUUUAUCUUUUUUAUGUUGUAUGUAGAACUUAAAAAACAAUCAAUCUUUUCUUGUAAAUGCAAACAAUUAGUCCCCUUGUAGACUACCAACACCUUACCUAUUGAAGGCAUGUAUUUUUUCUAUAUGGUAUUUUAUUUUCUAUUAUGAAACAUGAAAUGCAAAUUUAAUUUGAAAAUCAGUAAAUCUAUAAAUAAUUUAAAAAAAAAAAAAAAAAAAACACUAAAAUUACGAUACACAAAAUUGUGUGUCGUCUUUAUUUAUGACAUGACCUUUCUUGACAGGGACUUCCUAGAUACGCAUUGCGUGUCAUAAACACGCGCUUCGUAAGGUUACGGCACGCAAAUGCGUGUCGUCUUCCUUUAUGACAGGGCCUUCCUUGAUACGCAUUGCGUAUCAUAACCGUGCGUCGUAAAUGCGCGUCGUCUAUAGAUGACGCGCAAAAGCGCGUCGUCUAUAGAUGACGCGCAAAAGCGCGUCGUCUCUCUUUAUGACAGGGCCUUCCUUAACGCGCAUUUGCGUGUCGUCUGAGCGUUUUACGAUGCGCAAUGAGCGUCGUAAAAGGCUGUUUUUUAGUGCGAUAAAGGGUCGGCCUUGGUGCCGUAGACCCUGUCGAUAUAGUGAGGAUAACCCACCUCGCGACUUUCGAAACUCUAAACUGAAGAAGCAGAUGCCCGAACCACCGUCUCACCAAAGAUCCUGAACUAUCCAAAGUAGCAAAAUACACAUUAGACCAAGCACAAUAUCCUUCCAAGGGUAAAUUGACCAAUUUACCCUUAACUCAAUUUGGUCCAUGACUAAGGUCCAUAAUGAAAAUAUGAAAGGCCCAACACUAGGUAAGCUCUCAAGCCUAUUAAUGGUCCAAAGACCAAAAGUCUGAAGCAAAGCCCAAUAUUGGCCCAAUUUACUAAAUUGGGCCCACCUCACCAAAUGGGCCUAGAUCCAAGGUCCAUAAUAAUUAGUGAGUCCAAAUUACUCCAUCCAUAAUGUCCAGUCACAGCCCAAGCCAUAUUAGCCCAAUAACAACCCAAUCUCUUAAGGCCCAAAAUGAAAACUCAACAGAGGGAGUACGUUGGGCGUUCCCUUCUUGGUAUGCUGGGUGUACAACAAUGCUCGCGGAUUGGAAUCAGGACACAGACCCACUACGUUGGGCGUACUCCCAUUUAGGCAGGGCGUAACCUCGCUGAACUACAACUCCACAUAAGAUCUUAAUGGCUUAAGCUCUUAAGCCCAAACUUCAGAUCCAUAGACAAAAUAUGCCUAGGAUUCAUAAAGUCUCAAACUUUAUUACUUGGGACGUCCAUAAACCUCUUAACCCAAGGUCUUAAUCCAUUAAGACCUACCUAUAUCACAUAUGAGACAACCAAAGCCCUUGGGACCUCAUUUUUCUUACUCAAGACCUCUCCUAAGGUCUGAAAGGACAACUAAUCUCGACCAACUCGAAUCAUGCAUCAAGUUGAGGUUUUUGGGACAAGAAUGGUGUUAAAACUUCACAACACAAAGAUCUAUACAAUAAGAUUGUCAAGCCAGAGACUUUUUACCUCAAAAGGGCUCCAGAAGAUGAUGCCUCUCCAGAUCUACGAGCUCCAGCCGCCCCACUCCUUCUUUGACAACUUAUGUUUUCUUCUUCUUGGUUUUCCUUUGCCAAAACAAGCUUUCCAAGGUCAACACACCCAACAAUGGAGGUGGAACGGCUAUCUAGGGUUUUCUGAGGGUAAGAGAGUGUUUAUGGAGGCUAGGGUUGGAACCAUAAUGUUCCUUAUAUAGUGGUUGACCCUAAAUUUAGGGUUUCUGGAUGAUAGACGUACGUUGGGCGUACAUCCAGUACGUUGGGCGUACGUCGAGAGACCUCCGCGUUCAUUUACUCCAUUACGUUGGGCGUACCUAGCCAAACACGUGCAUGAAUGCUUGGCAUGCAUGGGACCCCUUUGCUAAACUUCCCCCUUAGGGACCAUUGUUGUCAAUAUCUUCAAUUUACAACAUAUCCUCCAUCCUAAGUUCGUUCCCGACGAACUUUAUAUCCACAUAAAGGGGCGCGAGAAGACCUACGCUUCUAGUGACACACCCCGACCCGAAAACCCAUUUCGAAUAAACCCAAUACCCAUAAAAAGACCGAAACGCCCUUACUCUUGAUCUCGGGAACCCAUAAAUAGAUAUUUUAAGAACGGAGCGUUACAGAUAUUGAUUGGGAUGUUGUACAAGCAUUUAUGGUUUUUGCUAAGGUGUUUUAUGAAGUGUGAAAUCGGUUUUCGGGGUCUUUGUAUGUAACUUUUCGUGCUUACUUUCAUGAUAUGUGUUCAUUGCAUAGCCAUAUUCAUGAAUGCAUUAAAAGUGAUGGCGGGUGAGUUCAAUGGCUAUGAAUAUGAAAGCAAAGUAUGAUAAAUAUUGGGAAAAUGCAGAAAAGAUGAAUUCUAUAUUGUAUGUAGAUGUUGUUUUUGAUCCUCGAUACAAAUUAAAAUAUGUCAAUUGGAGUUUGGAAGAAAUAUAACCUAUCGGUGAUAUUGCAUGUGACUUGAAAAAAAGUUAAAAGCCACUUUGAAUCGACUUUAUGUCUUUUAUUUGGAAAAAGAUCCUAUGCAUGCCAAAAUUCUUCUUCAAACAAGAAUCAUAACAAAAGAAAAGUUAAUGAGAAUCUUAACAUACAAGAGAAACGUAUGCUAAAAUAUAAGGAACAUUUGGAAGAUGAAAAAAAUAGGAGAAUUGAGUGAGCUUGAAAGAUAUUUGUCAGACAAUCAAGAGCCAAGUUAUGAGUCAUUUGACUUGUUGGAUUGGUGGAAGACAAAUAAAGCAAAAUAUUGUAUUUUGGGAAAAAUUGCACGCGAUGUCGUGGUUGUUGCAGUUUCUAUAGUUGCUUCGGAAUCCACAUUUAGCACAUGGGGUAGAGUUUUGGAUUUAUUUAGGAGUAGUCUUUCUCCUAAAAGAGUGCAAGCGCUUGUAUGCACACAAAAUUGGAUUUGGGGUGUGUUUAACAAAACUGCAAAAGUUUGUUAUGAAGAUGUGUUGCAAGAAAUUGAAGACCUUGAAGAAAUUCAAAAUAGUAAGAUUUCAGAUGUUAAAAAGUUUUAUAUCUCUUUGUUAUUAUUUUUUACAAAAUAUAACCUGUAUUUCAGGUUUUGCAAGCGAACUUAGUAUUUGCGCCGACAAUAUCGAUUGAAAGAUACUUUUCUUCUCAUGGUCUUAUAUUGAACUUUUGGUGUGAUGUUUUAAUAUUGAGUUUUUUGAACAAUAAACACAUAUGAAUUGGAUGACAUUUUGGAAGUGGAUAACAUUUUGGAAGUGAGCUUGCGGAUAAUGGAAAAAUAUUUGUGGUUUGUGUGUAUCGGUCUGAUGUUUGAUGUAAUGGAACAAUAUUUGUUAUUUUUAUUUACUGUUUUGGAUGGUUUUUAGGUUGCAUGAAUAGAUACAAAUGCUUGACGUAAUAGAAAGAUUUUAAAAAGUUUUAACAACUUUAAUAUGUUGUUUUUUUAACAAUUUUUUGCAGUUUUCUGGCAAUUUUGAUAGCUUUAAUGUUGUUUUUUUGGCAGAUUUUUUGACAGUUGUAACAAUAUAGCAGUUUUUUUUAACAAUUUAAUGUACUCGACAAAAAAUGAGCCUAAAAAGCCCAAACCGUGAAACUAAACCAGAACCAAACCGUUAGUAACAAUUUGAUUUUGUUUGGUUUUAAUUUUUAAACGGUUCCGCUGCGGUUUUUGAUCGAAAAAAAAAACUGUGAAGACCUCUAAGUAGAGGUUCGUUUUGUAUCAAUAUUAAUAAUAAUUUUUUAGUAGCUUCUUAUUAUCAUUAUAAAAUUAAUAGAAAAAUAAAAAGAAAUAAACACAAGUCAUGAUUACAAUAAUUUAAAAUAUAAUAUUGUUAUUUUAAAAAUAUAUUUUAAUUGCAUUUGUUUAUUUGAUAAUGAUAUCCAUCCCUUUAAUAAUGUAUACAACCGGGAUACCAGUAACUUAUGCACUUUCAAUAAAUUAACAUGCUUUCGGAAAAAAAAAUUGUAAAUUUGUAUUUGUAUGUAUAUAUACAUGCAUAUUUCCAACAAAGCAACACCGCUAACCAUGGCUUUUUCUGCACUCUCCCUUAUCCUUUUCUGCUUCAUCUUCAUAUCAUUCGCCAUCUCCGACGCCGUUGUUCCCCCCGCCGACACUUUUCGGUAUAUCAACCAAGGCGAUUUUGGAGAACUCGAUUCCGAAUAUGCCCCAACCUAUCGUCCUCUUCCUCCAUACACCUUCCCUUUCCAGCUGUGUUUCUACAACACCACCCCCGGCGUCUACACUCUCAGUCUCCGCAUGGGAACCAGACGUGAUGAAGCGGUCAUGCCAUGGGUGUGGGAUGCCAACAGAGGCAACCCAGUUGGCGAAAACGCCACCUUCUCAUUAGCCUCCGACGGAAACCUUGUACUCGCCGACGGAGAUGGACGGAUCGCAUGGCAAACCAACACCGCCAACAAGGGUGUCGUCGGUUUUGCCAUACUCUCCACCGGUAACAUCGUGCUUCGUGACUCCAAGGGUGGUUUCGUCUGGCAAAGCUUUGAUUCACCAACUGAUACUCUCUUGUUUGGUCAAUCUCUCCGGAUCCGAGGUCCGACGAAACUCGUCAGCAGAGCUUCAACGACGAACAACGUUAACGGAGCGUAUAGUUUCGUGAUAGAGCCAAAAAGAUUGGGUUUGUAUUAUAAGAACAUGCUUUACUGGGCUUCCACGUUUCCGGCGUAUCCGGAAUUGAACCAACCAAAUGUGACUAUUGUUAAUGCAACAUUCGACAUCGUGGAAACCGAAUACAAUAACGACUUUAACGCAAUUAGGUGUCAUCUUUCAAACUCUAAUGCUCAACCUUAUCUGGACAUGGACAUACUCCGAUUCAAUAACACGUUAUCCUAUAUCCGAUUAGGCAUCGAUGGGAACUUACGACUCUACUCUUAUCGUCCUCCGAAUAUCCGUUUUAGCCAAUGGAGUCUGGUGUUUAGAUUGUUCGAUAACAGGGAGACCACGAGGCAGGGUUUAUAUGAAGACGAGUGCCAACUGCCUGAACGCUGCGGCAAGUUUGGGCUGUGUGAGGACAGCCAGUGUGUUGGGUGUCCAUCGCCGGAGGGUGUUUUUGCGUGGAGCAAAAACUGCAACGUGAAGACGCCGUCUUGUAAAGCUGGUGGUUCUCGUUACUACCAGCUCAAAGGGGUCGACCAUUUCACCUCUAAAUACUCUGCGGGGACUGGGCCGAUGAAGCAGAAAGAUUGCGAGAGUAAAUGCACAAAGGACUGUAAGUGUAUGGGGUAUUUCUAUCGCACUGAUCUAUCGAGGUGUUGGAUCGCUAACGAGUUAAAAACUUUGACGAGGGUUGGGAACUCGACUCAUUUGGCGUACAUCAAAACACCCAUCCAGUAGUUGGAUAAGUCUACUAGGAAGAGGGAAUAAGGAAGAUGAAAGAUUUGAAGAAAUAGCACUGUUUACCUGCUUUUCUUAUUUUUACCUUCCAUUGUGUGUUUGUAUCGAAAUCAAAGAGUCUAUGUGGUAUACUUUUUAAGAUGUAAAACGCUUUGGUAUGCGUAACACAUUUGCAGAAGAGUAAUGUGUUUCCAGUCUACAAGAAAAAAGAUCGAUUAUUUAUUAAAUUCUACAACGACAUAAAAAAGGGUAGCUGCUAUUUGUAUACACCUCUAGGGAAUGAAAGACGAGAUCACAUCAAUCAUCGUGGUCUUUCUAUAAAUUUUAUAAGGUAGGCUAAAUUUUUUUUCUUAUUUUACCAUUUAGACGCCCUUAAUUAAUUUUAAAUUUUUUUUUUAUUGUCGCCAGAACAAAUGCUAUCAGAAAAGUUAAAAACCCUGUCGCAUGGUAUAGAUACAUGUGGGAUAUUAUUGGAAAAUAGAGAACAUAAUUUUUGGAGUUUCGGUUUUUUGGGCUAAAUUUAGGGUAGAGUGUUAUAGAUGAUUCCUGAUUGGUUAAUAAGGCUGGGGGAAUUGGAGUCACCGAAAAUGCAUUCCUUCUCCCAUCACAUAAGCGUCAUGUCAUUUUUUACCACUCAAAUGUGGUUUCUUGCCACAUCAAGUGUGUAGUGCCACACUUUUCAUUUCUUUUAUUUUUUUGUUUUUUUUAAGUAUUUUAAUUUAAUAAAACUUCCUUUUUUUAACUAUUUUAAUUUAAUAUAACUUAUAUUUUAAUAACAAAAACAUAAUUUUUCAUUACUUAAAAAUUAAAAAAAAAAAACACUAUAUUACGUUACUAAAAAAAACCCAUACAUAUGACAUUUAAAUAAUCUUAGAAACUUAAAAAACAUAAAUAAAAUAACUAAAGCAAACUACAUAAAGUCAUUCUCCGAGAACUCGUCUUCGGGGUCAUCCGGUGAAUCCAAAUUAAGGUUAAUGUUUUGAACCCUAUAAAUGUUUUCCAAGUCAUUGCGAAGAUUGUAAAAUGUUUCAGUGCAAUGUAUCUUUGCUCUCCUGUUUAUAUACUCUUCGCCACCAAUUUCUAUUGGCUAUGUCUCUGGUAUGGUUUCUUCUUCGUCAAACUCACAUAUCGCUUUUCCUUCGUCUUCAUUAAUCAUGUUAUGCAAUAUAAUACAUGUAUAUAUGAUUUCUUGAAGUUUUUCCUUGCCCAAAUAAGUUGUUGGUUUUUUCAAUAUGAACCACCGUUUCUUCAGAGCUCCAAAGGCACGCUCAACAUCUUUCUUAGCUCUUUCUUGAGCUCUCUUAAAUUUCUUUUGUCAAGAACCAUGUGGAGCUGAAAACGGUUUAACAAACACAGCGUACUUAGGAUAGAUUCCAUCGACCAGAUAAUAACCAUACUUAUAUGGCGUUCCACGCACUUGAAAAGAAGAAUCUGGUGCGAAUCUAUCGUAUAUGUUGUUAAAUAUUAAUGAACGGUUAAGAACGUUGAUGUCGUUAAUCGAACCAAGAGAACCAAAAAAAGCAUGCCAAAUCCACAUAUCUUGUGAUACAACUGCUUCAAGUAUGACCGUUGGGUGACCAUGAUCACCUCGGGUAAAUUGCCCAUAAUAUGUUGUAGGGCAAUUUUCCCAUGCCCAAUGGAGACAAUCUAAGCUUCCUAGCAUUUCAAGAAACCCAUGCACACUAGCAUGAUGAGCUUGCAAUUGCAGGAUGUCAUUACGUGUAGGCUUACGUAAAUAUUUUGGACCAGAAAACUGAAUCAUAGUUUUGCAGAAAAAAUGGAGACUGUCUCGUGCUAUCCUAGCAGACAUCCUAAAACUUUCGUCUAGCGCAUCAGGCGGAAUUCCAUAUGCUAACUGACGAAGUGUGCCCGUGCAUUUUUGUAAGAGAGUGAAACCGAGUGUACCUCUAGUAUCGUAGCGUUGUUGGAAAAAACUACACUCCCUCGUUACAUCGUCAACUAUACGUUCGAAUAAACCUUUGAGCAUUCUGAAGCGCCUACGAAAUACCUUGGUAAGUGGCAUUCUCUGCAAAAUAUUCUUGCACCAGACGUUGGUUGACUUCUUCACGAUUUCUGUAAAUAUAUCUUCGUGUUCUCUGUUGAGAACUUACAGCUGCGUUGUUACAUACAACGUUGUAUGUUUGUUCCGCCAUUUAAACACACGCAAUAGCGAUAUCAAAAAUAGUCUGAAAUUCUUCAGAAGAUGAAGAAGAUGACAUUUUUGAGAGAGUGGUGAUUUAAAUUUUUUUUUUUUUUUUUGAGAGAGAAAGGAGAUUGUGUUGUAAAAAAAAAGAUUAAGUUGAUAUGUAUAUAUAUAGAAAAGAAAAAGCAAAAGAAAAAAAAUUAAAUGCUCAACGUCAAUCCUUCCCAACUUCCCUCAACCAAUCAGAACACACGGUCUUAGAGAACCGCACUAUGGCCAAGAUUGUACUAGACCGCGGUCUGAAAACGGUGUUUCAAUACUACGUGGCAUAAAGUGCGGUCUGGAACGGUACCCGCACCGUGAAGCCUAAGUAAAGCAAACGGAUUUUGACGGACACACGAACCCGCGAUACUAGUAACUAUUACCUUUUCAUUAAAUUAACAUUCUUUCAUAAAGAGAAUAUAAAAGUCUAUAUAUAUGCAUAUAUAUCCGACAAGGCAACACAGUAACCAUGGUUUCUUCUCUCUCCCUUAUCCUUUGCUGCUUCAUCUUCAUAUCGUUAUCCAUCUCCAACGCCGUUGUUCCUCCCGCCGAUACUUUUCGGUAUGUCAAUCAAGGCGAUUUUGGAGAAUUCGAUUCCGAAUACGCCCCAAACUAUCGUCCUCUUCCUCCAUUCACCUACCCUUUCCAGCUCUGUUUCUACAACACCACCCCCGGUGUCUACACUCUCAGUCUCCGCAUGGGAACCAGACGUGAUCAAGCAGUCAUGCCAUGGGUGUGGGAUGCCAACAGAGGCAACCCAGUUGGCGAAAACGCCACCUUCUCAUUAGCCUCCGACGGAAACCUUGUACUCGCCGACGGAGAUGGACGGAUCGCAUGGCAAACCAACACCGCCAACAAGGGUGUCGUCGGUUUUGCCAUACUCUCCGAUGGUAACAUCGUGCUUCGUGACUCCAAGGGUGGUUUCGUCUGGCAAAGCUUUGAUUCACCGACUGAUACACUCUUGUUUGGUCAAUCUCUCCGGGUCGGAGGUCCGACGAAGCUCGUCAGCAGAGCUUCAGCGACGAACAACGUUAACGGAGCGUAUAGUUUCGUGAUAGAGCCAAAAAGAUUGGGUUUGUAUUAUAAGAACAUGCUUUACUGGGCUUCCACGUUUCCCGAAGUGAACGACCGAAAUGUGAAUAUUGUCAAUGCAACAUUGGAAAUCCAGAGAACCGAAUACGAAGAAAACUACUUUAAUGCGCUAAAGUGUCGUCUUUCAAACUCUGAAGCUCAACCUAAUUUGGACUUCGACAUACUCCGAUACAAUAGCACGUUAUCAUAUCUCCGAUUAGGCAUCGAUGGGAACUUAAGACUCUACUCUUAUCGUCAGAAUGUCCGUUUCAGCUCAUGGAGUCUGAUGUUCACUUUGUUCACUAGAAGGGUGAGCGAGAGGGGAGAGAUAGUUGAAGACGAGUGCCAACAGCCUGAUCGCUGCGGCAAGUUUGGGCUGUGUGAGGACAGCCAGUGCGUUGGGUGUCCGUCGCCGGAGGGUGUUUUUGCGUGGAGCAAAACUUGCAACGUGAAGACGCCAUCUUGUAAAGCGGGUGGUUCUCGUUACUACCAGCUCAAAGGGGUCGACCAUUUCACUUCUAAAUACUCUCCGGGGAGUGGGCCGAUGAAACAGAAAGAUUGCGAGAGUAAAUGCACAAAGGACUGUAAGUGUAUGGGGUAUUUCUAUCGCACUGAUCUAUCGAGGUGUUGGAUCGCUUACGAAUUGAAAACUUUGACGAGGGUUGGGAACUCGACUCAUUUGGCUUAUAUCAAAACACCUAUUCAGUAGCUCUGUGGUGCACGAGAAACCGGGAACAAGGAAGGUGCACUGUAUAGUUGCUUUUAGUAAAUUCUGACCUUCCAUUGUGUCUUUGUAUCGAAAUCAAAUAAUAUUCUUGUUUUGAUUUAUAAAAAAUUAGGUUAUAUGAGAUAACCGUUAUAUAUAAAUAAUAUUUAAAAUGAUUAAAAAAAUAUUUUUAUUAAAUUCAUCAUUUACAACCAACUUAUAAAAUAUAGCAGAUGUGCAAGAAAAAGAAAAAAACUUUUUUGAAAUAGUAUGUAAGAUGGUGCCGUAAAUAAUGCGAAUUAAUUUAAUAGAAGGAUUUGACUUAUAAUGGUAAGUUUAUCAUAAGAUUUAUGCUUAAAAUUUGAUUUUUUUUUUUUUAAAUCUAGAUGCAACCUUGGGAGGUUGUAAUUAAUUUACGACGGAAUAACAAAUCUAUUUAUAUAAACAAAAUGUAUUUUUAUAAACAAAACAUAAGUUUAUUAUUAUUAAUUUUAUCUUUUUUUAUCCACAUUGUGUCA
rnacentral:lncRNA from 1 species